rnacentral:tRNA from 1 species
GGGACUAUGGCGCAGCUGGGAGCGCGUUAGACUGAAGAAUCAACUUCAGCCUCCUACUUCUACUGGAAGUAGUGUAAUCUAAAGGUCACCGGUUCGAUCCCGGUUGGUCCCA